rnacentral:rRNA from 1 species
UACGUAGGGUGCGAGCGUUGUCCGGAAUUAUUGGGCGUAAAGAGCUUGUAGGCGGUCUGUCGCGUCUGCUGUGAAAAUCCGGGGCUCAACCCCGGACUUGCAGUGGGUACGGGCAGACUAGAGUGUGGUAGGGGAGACUGGAAUUCCUGGUGUAGCGGUGAAAUGCGCAGAUAUCAGGAGGAACACCGGUGGCGAAGGCGCCACUCUGGGCCGAAACUGACGCUGAGGAGCGAAAGCGUGGGUAGCAAACAGG